CAUCUUGUUCCGGGACAUGAGACAUGCUAAGUACACAAAUAGGAGUAUAGUGAGUACUUGAAAUAAAAGCGUGAUCUGUGUCAACUGGCUCUAGCUAAAAGUCCGAGGCGAAGAGAUUAUCUGGAUUACGUCAUAUAUGAGGCCCUGCUAGUGCCAAGUGGCUAAGAGAGGCUCUACCUAUGAUAAGCACCAAGUGGGCAAAGGCCACUUGAUAAUGUGGAGGGAACUUUGG